rnacentral:ncRNA from 1 species
CUGUCUAUUGAAAGGAGAUACACUUAGCACUUUCCCUGACAAGCAUGGAACACACAGUUU